ACGACUCUCGGCAACGGAUAUCUCGGCUCUCGCAUCGAUGAAGAACGUAGCGAAAUGCGAUACUUGGUGUGAAUUGCAGAAUCCCGUGAACCAUCGAGUCUUUGAACGCAAGUUGCGCCCUAAGCCACUAGGCCGAGGGCACGUCUGCCUGGGUGUCACGCA
rnacentral:rRNA from 1 species